AGCUUGGCGCUCUGGUAACCAGGACACUGCCUGGCUUGGGAGGAAAGCACUAUAGGAAAUCAUCAAUUGGAAGCAUCAGAAAGUUAUGACUUAAUUUAAAGGGAAUUCAUCUCAUCUGCCUCAUUGUUAUGAAGUAAUUGCUGAGUCUGACUGAGGAAGCCAAGAACCAAUGACUUAGACUUUGGGUCACAGUACCGAGAAAUGAUACCGUACGACAACGAAUCUCAGUGUUAGCUGAGUACGGCACAGGGAUGAACUACUUAAGUCGAUGAGACAUUGAUUUUGAUAUCAGAGUGUGGAACAGGUGGGAUGGAUGGACCACGAAGCUCCGGCGAUCAAUAUCAGGACCAAUUUUAUUCAUUAUGCCAAUGGUUUUGGAGAAGGAACAUUCAUAGUAAGCUUUACACAAAACUAUUGGGAGGGUCGCUCAAUACAAAGAGGGGACGGAAUGCCUUGAGUCACCGAGGAACAUAAGCAGAUGAGCGGCUCACUCAGUUCAGGGCAGAGGAAAUAUGAAGUAGAAAGAUUAUCUCACAGGAGUGUAAAGUCAGAACAAUAAAGGGGAAUGGAGAAGGAAAAGCAUAGCAGCAACUGGAAUGGUGGAAGCGAUAAUUCAAGUGCUUUAAGGAAAAGAAUUGACUACAGAAAUUAAAUUAAAUAAAUGUACUUUUUGAUAGACUAGAUUAAGAAAAACAACUCAAUAGAAAUAUAUAAUUAAGGGUUGGGGAUUUAGCUCAGUGGUAGAGCGCUUGCCUAAAAAGCGCAUGGAUGACAGAACCCUUGGGUUCUAGAUGAUCUAAAAGCAUAGAUG
rnacentral:lncRNA from 1 species